rnacentral:hammerhead_ribozyme from 1 species
GUACUGUUGAAGAGUCCAAGACUAGGGCUAAGCAAUUGUCCAGUAC